CCUGCGGGUAGCUGACUGGCGCUCAGCUGCGAAACUUACGAGGAGGUAGCGUGGAAUUGAAAUCAAUUUGAUAUUUGCGGUCUGGGUUGGAAUGAAUCGAAUCGUCGGUGUUUGACGUUGAGGAAAAACUUCCCACCAUAUCAACCUACCAACCAACCAACUAAGCAAGCAAGUGAGCAAACAGGCAAGCAAACCCAGCCGCCAGCCACAAUGAUUCCAAUGAUUUGACCCAAUUUACUUGAACACAAGUCACGUUCUACUCUCCCCUUCGUUUCAAUUGAACAUGAUCAAUUGAGGCGAGGGAAGAAAUGAAUGCGUUGUUCUCAUGCAGAGGAAACAUUUCCAGGACCAUGGCUAGGUCGGCUUGCAUUGGAGAUGGAAAUAUUCAUGGAAGGUUCAUUAUUAGCCGUACAUGCAUGUGUACAAAACCAAAAAAAAAACAAUCAAACGCUCAGGCCUGAUUCAGAGCACAACUCUCGACCAGGCCAAGCCGUGUCCAGGCAUGUCAAGUAGGUUAAAGAUAACGUCGUGUCUAAACAAACUUGUAUUCGUAGUGGUGUGUAUGUGUACUCCGUUUUCUGAUCAUAUCUGCCAUUGAAAGGCUGUGUGGAGAUUUCCAAAUAUCAUGCCAGAGGAGGUCGGCUUGUGUGAGUGCGUGUGGCUAUGUCUGCAAAACGGUUUUAAGAGGACAUUAAAAUUAGUCAGACAUGGCGUCACACCUCAAGUCUUUGUCCAAUUACGGAUACAGAGCCCUCUUGGCCAUCUGUGGCACACCUUUGGCGAAAUUACCCCUUCCAAUUGACACGAUUACAUUCAACGGAUGAACAGAGGCUCUACCUCAAACUUUGGUCGCUCCAACCAUUCAAACUGCGUAGACGUCAUAUCCACCUACCCAUACCCCAAGGUUCUUCCCGCGAUCCUCACCGAAUUCGCAUUCAGUCCUCGUCGCUCUCGUAAAUAAUGCAAGGGCCUCAUAGGGUCAUCCAACCAGGAGUGGGUUUCUCUCAACGAUAUGAACGACCCCCCUAGAUCUCGAACUUACGGUUAGAUGACCAGUGUCAACAUGCCCCCCCUCCUCCCUCCUCCUUCACUCGCCACGGACUCGUUUCCAUUGGUUUCCUUGGCCCAACCAAGUCAACUCUCACCAUGGUGUCCUCGGAGUCCGAGAUCUAGACGACGCCUCUGCGGCCAUCAAUGGCCUCAGCCUAGGGCAUCUACUAGCCUUCUUUUCAAGUCUUUGAAUGGAGAAUGCCAUGAUCUCUGGGGGUCGAUACCUGGGAAUGAGAUCCACCCUUCCGAUGAGCUCUAGUUGGCCAGGGUUUGAGUGCUCCCUGGAAGAAUUCAGGGACAAAAAAUGACCACAUCUCAUCUUGAUCCCCCAUCAACAUUUUUGGGGAUCCCUCCUACAAGAAUUGCACAGUCACGCUUAUGUCUGAAUAAACCUGUUAAAAACA